UCCAGCGUUGAAAUCUUAUCAUUUCAGAGAAAUGCAAAGCUUUGCUGCUGAUCUCUGCAGCUCAGAUCUGAAAUAACAGACUAAUUAUUUCUAUGUGCUUCCAGUUGCAGAGAGUCGAGGAAUCAAAUGAAGUUUGUUGGCAACUUUCAUGACCAACAGCAAACAGGAGCAUUCAGCUCUGAAUGCUUUGCUUUGUUCAUCCCACUGGAACUGAUUCCGAUGAGUCUAACGGAGCAGGAAGGGAAAUUUCCUGUCACAGGGCGAGUCCAGCUUUAUGCUCUGCAAUACGAGGAGGGAGAAUGUGAGGAAUGUCUGACAGUAGGACGAAGAGGAGGAGAAACUCUUAACGCCAAUAGAGAUUUGUUCCCUCGACCGCCUCAAACUAGAAGAGAAUAAAAGAAACAGCAUAACUGAAACAGUUUGUCAGUCUGUUAGUCUAGAUCUGGUGUGUCCAUGUCUAGUCUAACAGUGUCAACGUCAUGCAGAGACCUGGACACAAAGGCUGACAAAGCAGCAAAAUGUUGAGGCUGAUAAAGAAGAAAACUAACAGAUGAAGAUGAUGUCCAGCAUCCUGCUGCUCCUCAUCCUCAGCUCAUGUCUCUGUGCAGCAACAUUUGUAGUGAAUGUGACACAGAGCAGCUAUCAGGCAGAGGAGAAGCAGAACAUCACUCUGGAGUGGACCUUCACCACCAAGACUCAGGGAACAUGGAGAAAUCUGUUCAUCUUCUGCAGCUUGUUGACUCCUGAUAAACCGCGAGUUCUCUAUCAGGUCCAUGAAGGAGUUGAGAUUCCAGAGUCUCAGGAUAAACAGUUUUCAGGACGAGUCCAGAGCGACAAAGACGUCCUCAGAGAAGGACGAAUCAGACUCCAUGUGUCCAGACUGAGGACUGAAGACUCUGGUCGGUAUCUGUGUGAAGUGAAAACUAAAGAUGGAUUCAACUCUGGAAGAUGUCAACUCAGCGUUUCUGCAGCUGCUGAUCAGAUCCAAACUCAGAGACCAAGAUUGACUCCAGAACCAGAAGAACAAGGAUGGAUGAACAUCAUCAUCGUCUCUGUGGGACUGACAGCAGCACCUCUGAUUUUUUUUCUUUAUUAUUUUUUAGUGAAAUGUUGUAAACCAGUAGAUGUUAAUUUUAAUAAUUAUAAAGAGAGAAGAGAUAGUUCAGUCACUUUAUCAUUAGAAACAAUUUGAUCAGAUUUAGAGGAAUAUAAAUUUUCAGCAUCAAACAACAAAUUUAUUUAUUUGGUUGAUUAUUUUCAGCAGCUGAAAGAUUUUAAAUCUAAAACUCAACAUAAAUGAGCCUUAAAGAGAAUUUAAUCUAAGAUUAUAAUUUAUUGUUCAGUUCAGUGUUUCAGGUUUUAUCUGAUUUUCUUCCUUCUGUUCAUGAACCAGCAGCAUAGUGAUGUUCUGGUUCUGGUUCUGACCCGCUGACUGCUGGAGACAGACAUUCUGGACUCAACCAGAACCAGAACCAGAACCUGGAACCAGAACCAGAACCCUGAUCUGAGAUGCUUUAAGCUGCAGCAGCUGAUGAACCAGUGAAGUUCUGGAUCUGCUCCACUGGUUCUGGUUCUGAAGGUUCUGCUGUAAAUAAAUCCAGAUUUCUUCCCUCAUGUUGUCAGAACCUGAUUCUCUGCAGAACCUUUUAACAUCCAACAUGAGCUGCAGCCGUUUGGACCUCAGCAGAACCAGUCCAGCUGCUGGAUCUGACCUCAGACCAGUUCUACCAUCAAGGGUUCUACUGGAGCGCCACCUGGUGGUGGAGUUAGGAACUGUGAGCUUAUAGAGCUGAAGGUCUGAGUGAUGGACCGACUGGAUCCGUUCAGUUUGAUUUGUUCUGUUUUUAUAUUUUGUCCAUCAUUAAUAUUCAUCGUUAAGUUUUAUCUUCUAACAUUUAUGAUAAAUUGUUUGUUUUAUUGAUUAUAUAACAAAAUGCUGGACAAAAACAAAACAGUAAAACCCACAUUAAGGCCAAAUGAGUUUAUUUAUAGAAAGUGAUGAAGAGGAGCUGCUGCUUCAGAAAUGAUCAAUAUCUGGACGUCGAUCAGCUGAUCAAUUUUUGUAAUGAAUUUUUGUUACUUUAUAAAACUUAUUAAUUAAAAUGAUUAAUUUGC